GACGAACGCUGGCGGCGUGCUUAACACAUGCAAGUCGAACGAUGAACCCGGAGCUUGCUCCGGUGGAUUAGUGGCGAACGGGUGAGUAACACGUGAGUAACCUGCCCUUGACUCUGGGAUAACUGCGGGAAACUGUAGCUAAUACCGGAUACGACCCUUCGCGUCCUCGCCUGGGGGUGGAAAGAAGUUCGGUAAAGGAUGGACUCGCGGCAUAUCAGCGAGUUGGUGAGGUAACGGCUCACCAAGGCGACGACGGGUAGCCGGCCUGGGAGGGUGACCGGCCACACUGGGACUGGGAAACGGCCCAGACUCCUACGGGAGGCAGCAGUGGAGAAUAUUGCACAAUGGGCGCAAGCCUGAUGCAGCAACGCCGCGUGAGGGAUGACGGCCUUCGGGUUGUAAACCUCUUUUAGUAGGGAAGAAGCGAAAGUGACGGUACCUGCAGAAAAAGCACCGGCUAACUACGUGCCAGCCGCCGCAGUAA
rnacentral:rRNA from 1 species